UACAGGGGUCUCAAGCGUUGUUCGGAUUCAUUGGGCGUAAAGGGUGCGUAGGUGGCGCCAUAAGUCAGGUGUGAAAUCUCGGGGCUCAACCUCGAAACUGCACUUGAUACUGUGGUGCUGGAGUACUGGAGAGGAGAUUGGAAUUUACGGUGUAGCAGUGAAAUGCGUAGAUAUCGUAAGGAAGACCAGUGGCGAAGGCGGCAUCCUGGACCGAUAUUGACGCUGAGGAGCGAAAGCUAGGGGAGCAAACGGG
rnacentral:rRNA from 1 species